GGUGGGGCCUCUCGCCCAUGCCGGCCUUGCGCUCGCGACCUCGGUCGGCGCCUGGGUCAAUGCACUGAUCCUCGCGGUUCUGCUGGCGCGUGCCGGGCGGCUCGCCGUCGAUCAGCGCCUUGUCCGGCUCACGGCGCUCAGCCUUGCCGCAUGCUUUGCGCUCGCCGCCGUCGUUACGGGACUAGACCCCUUUGCCGAGCGGUUUCUGGGCCUCAUCCCCGCCGUGCCGGACCUUGUCCCCGUCGCACUGAAGCUCGGUCUCGGCGGGGCCGCCUAUCUCGGGGUGAUGGCCCUGGGAUGGCGGGCGAUUUCGCGAAAAGCCGACCCUCUUCGUUAACACUACCGCCAGAAUCGGCUUGCCGGUCAGGGGCUUGUUGGUAC
rnacentral:misc_RNA from 1 species